CCUUUAAAGAGUGCGUAACAGCUCACUAGUCGAAUGACUCUGCGCCGAUAAUUUACCGGGGCUAAGCAUACUACCGAAGCUAUGGAUCCCAAGGGAUGGUAGGGGAGCGUUCCAUGAACGGAGAAGCGCGAUCGAGAGGACGCGUGGAGAUCAUGGAAGAGAGAAUGCCGGUGUGAGUAGCGGAACGUGGGUGAGAAUCCCACGCACCGAAAACCCAAGGUUUCCAGAGGAAGGUUCGUCCGCUCUGGGUAAGUCGGGACCUAAGGCGAGGCCGAGAGGCGUAGUCGAUGGACAACAGGUAGAGAUUCCUGUACUCAUAUAUAUGUGAAGGAAUGACGGAGAGAGGAAGCUGCAGCCAGCGGCUGGAAGAGCUGGUGCAAGCGAGAUAUCGGGAUGGCAGGCAAAUCCACCAUCCGAAACGAGAAGGCGUGAAGCGUACGGAAAGCUAAGGCGAGUACGGAAGGCAGUGGAGGAGCUUCCAAGAAAAGUUUCUAACGAAAGUAUAUGUGACCCGUACCGAAAAUGGACACACAUGGGUGAGGAGAGAAUCCUAAGGUGAGCGAGAGAACUAUAGCUAAGGAACUCUGCAAAAUGACUCCGUAACUUAGGGAGAAGGAGUGCUCAUAGAGAUAUGAGCCGCAGUGAAACGGCCCAAGCGACUGUUUACCAAAAACACAGCUCUCUGCUAAGCCGCAAGGCGAAGUAUAGGGGGUGACGCCUGCCCGGUGCUGGAAGGUUAAGGGGAGGGGUUAACGCAAGUGAAGCCCUGAACUGAAGCCCUAGUAAACGGCGGCCGUAACUAUAACGGUCCUAAGGUAGCGAAAUUCCUUGUCAGGUAAGUUCUGACCCGCACGAAAGGCGUAACGAUUUGGGCGCUGUCUCAGCUGUAGACUCGGUGAAGUCUUAGUACCUGUGAAGAUGCAGGUUACCCGCGACUAGACGGAAAGACCCCAUGGAGCUUCACUGCAGGUUGAUAUUGGGAUUUGAUGCAGCAUGUACAGGAUAGGUAGGAGGCAAAGAGAUGGAUACGCCAGUAUUCAAGGAGCCGCUGUUGGGAUACUACCCCUGUUGUAUUGGAUUUCUAACCGGACGACGUAAAGCCGUUGACGGGACAGUGUCAGUCGGGCAGUUUGACUGGGGCGGUCGCCUCCCAAAGAGUAACGGAGGCGCCCAAAGAUACCCUCAGCUUGGAUGGAAACCAAGCGCAGAGUGCAAAGGCAAAAGGGUGUUUGACUGCGAGACCUACAAGUCGAGCAGGGACGAAAGUCGGGCUUAGUGAUCCGGCGGUGCUGAAUGGAAAGGCCGUCGCUCAACGGAUAAAAGCUACCCUGGGGAUAACAGGCUGAUCUCCCCCAAGAGUUCACAUCGACGGGGAGGUUUGGCACCUCGAUGUCGGCUCAUCGCAUCCUGGAGCUGAAGUCGGUUCCAAGGGUUGGGCUGUUCGCCC
rnacentral:rRNA from 1 species